rnacentral:rRNA from 1 species
GACGAACGCUGGCGGCGUGCUUAACACAUGCAAGUCGAACGGGCCCGCCCUCUUUUUUGGGGGUGGGUUGAGUGGCGAACGGGUGAGUAUCACGUGAGUAACCUGCCCCCUGCUCCUGGAUAACUGCUUGAAAGGGCGGCUAAUACGGGGUGUGCCGGCUGGUCCGCAUGGGCCUGGUCGGGAUAGUUUCAUCUUCGGGUGUUUCGGUGGGGGAUGGGCUCGCGGCCUAUCAGCUUGUUGGUGGGGUGAUGGCCCACCAAGGCGGUGACGGGGAGCCGGCCUGGGAGGGGGCGCGGCCACACUGGGACUGAGACACGGCCCAGAGUCCUGCGGGAGGCAGCAGUGGGGGGUAUUGCACAAUGGGCGGAAGCCUGAUGCAGCGACGUCGCGUGAGGGAUGGGGGCCUUCGGGUUGUGAACCUCUUUCUCCGGUGGUGAAGGCCCUGUCCGUUGCGGCGGGGUUGACGGUAGCCGGGGAUGAAGCGCCGGCUAACUACGUG